rnacentral:hammerhead_ribozyme from 1 species
AUCCAGAUGAUGAAUCCCAAAAUAGGACGAAAUGUGCAUCCUGGAU